GCCGGGGUGGCGGAAUGGCAUACGCGGACGCCUCAAAAGCGUCUGUCCCUAGGGGCAUGCGGGUUCGAAUCCCGCUCCCGGCA
rnacentral:tRNA from 1 species